CCAUGUUGUUCAGCAGCAAACGUGAAGGUUUCUUCUUUCCUUCCAGGACUGGAGACUCCAGCACCAGGUGCCGUUGUCAUUCCUGACCUCCCCGGGUUGUGGCGUUGGACAUGCCCUGAUCCUUAAAAAGGGGUAAGAGAGCUGUAUUUCAUUAUCCGAAGGUGAUCUCUACUUACCUUGUCUUGUGUCCAUCAGGUGUCAGUGUGAGAGCUGUGACCCUCCCGAGCGCUGCAAGGGCUCUGUGAGGCUCCUGGUGGACGCAGCAGGAACCCGCACGCAUAGAUGGACGCCAAGAUCCGCUCCUUCCUGUGUCUGGCAAGCUCUGCUGACCCCUGAGGUCGUUCCCACGCUUGCGGAGGUUCUAUGGGCUUGGUGUUGGUUGUCGCUCGUGCUCACCGUGCUGUCACCGGGUGUUCUUCCUUUGCCCGUCGUAGGGGUCCCCUGUUCUGAUGGGAUCUCCGUGCCUUCUGCUGAUCCCAGAGUACUUCGAUUUGUUAUUUUAUUUUUAGGUUCUGUACCAUUUCAUGCUUUUGUGAUGUGUUUUUUUUUGUGUUUUGUUUUUUUUAAUAUUCUCAUACCAAAAUGUAACUGCCCAGCAGAUUUAAUGAUAACCAAAUUAAAGCACAUUGGCCUUGCCUUCCUCCCUGUGCAAGCCUCACCCCCUAAUUUCUGUUUGGUUUAUGAAUAAUUUUAACUUUUUAUUUUCUGGGUUUUUUUUUUUCCCUUUCCUUAAUAUUAUUUUCUAAUUCUGUUUUUUUUUCUCAUUCUUUUUCUUUUUUUCAUUUUUUCCCCUCUUCUUUUCUGACUCCCCUUCUGUUUCCUAUUAUUUUCUAUCUUUUUUAUUGUUUUCUCUUUUUCCCAACCCCUUGUUCCAUUUCUUAUUCUUUUACUUGUCUGUUUUCUAUUUCUUUUUCAUAUUUUUUCUCUGUCUCUUUCUUAUUCUAAAUACUUUUCUAAUUCUUUUUCCCUGUCUAUGUCUUUUUUCUCUUUCCAAUUCUUUUUACUUUUCUAAAUACUUUUCCAAUUUUUUGCCAAUUCUUUUACUAGUUCUAUUUCUUCUGCACUUCCUAGUUCAUUACCUAUUUUUUUCCAAUUUGAAUUCUUUUUCCAAUACGCUUUCUGUUUCUAAUUCUGCUUGUGUUCCUGAUUCUAAACUGUCAGGUGUGGGCCUGAGGCAGUGACGGAGCACCUGGUGGGGGUGUGAACAGCCCAGGGAGCACAGGUGGAAGCAAUUCCCCUGUGGGCUGGGAUAGGGAGGGGCCAGAGCCCACCCUGAGCUCAUUUAAAGGCUGGCAGCUGAAGGGGAAGGGUCUGCGCCUGCGGGUUGCUCUGGCUGUUUGGCUGCGUGAGUGCUGAGGCUUGGGAAGGGCUGAGUUGUUGUUGUUUCUUUGCUUGAUGCUGACCUGCUUGUUUUUGGUUCAGUGUUGAGCAGAAGGUUCUGGACACCAGGACUCCUUUCAAGCGGUGUGAGGACUCCCCUGAGGGCCUUGGUGGACACAGCAGGAAGCCACAGCCAACGCUGCACACCGACAUCCACAGUUGAUCUUGUCUGGCAAGGGCUAUUGCUCCCAGAGAGCGUUUUUGCUCUUCUGGCCAUUCGACGGAAUUGGUGUCAGUUUCUACUCGUGCUCCCUGGGCUUUCCAAGGGUGUUCUCCUUACUUGACACCAUCUUUCCCGCCCUCACUUUCCAAGCAGGAGCUCCCCUUGGCCUCCGUGUCUCGCUCUGGCCAGGCAGACGUGGUGUGCCAACGGUACGCAGAGUCCAGACCCUGAGCAGAAGAACAACUGAGGAGAGAGGCUGCCCUGGGUGAGACAGGAGAAGUGUCCCUUGAAGCAGGGGACGCCCCGCUGGCGCUGCCUCUCGCAUCCACGGGCAGCGCGUUCCUUCUCUCUCCUUGCCGCCCGGCGCUUUGCCGUCUCCCAGGGCUCGCCAAGUCCAAAUGUUCCCUGAUGGAGUCCAACUCCAGCUUGACCAACACUCACCCCGUCUUGUCCCCGCACCAGCUGACUUAGGGCUCCCCAGCACUGCUGGCUAUCGGUGUCUUCUGUCGCUCCCAAUCAGCAUGGCUCUGUUCUUUGCCUUUUGGGUUCCAGAGCAUUUGCUACGGGUUAUGGAGUGUUUCUCUUCUUGUCUUCCAUGUUGCCCGUUGGCGCCUCGGUGGAGUUUCAGUGACCCAAACGCAGACGGCUCUGCGUUGACCAAGCGUGAUGCCAAGAGAAGAGGUAGGCACCAGAGCAGGCUGCUGGUGAGUGCUGUGCAUGACUCGGGGUUCGUAGGAUGCCCACUCUUUCUUACUAACCCAUGUUGUUCAGCAGCAAACGUGAAGGUUUCUUCUUUCCUUCCAGGACUGGAGACUCCAGCACCAGGUGCCGUUGUCAUUCCUGACCUCCCCGGGUUGUGGCGUUGGACAUGCCCUGAUCCUUAAAAAGGGGUGUCAGUGUGAGAGCUGUGACCCUCCCGAGCGCUGCAAGGGCUCUGUGAGGCUCCUGGUGGACGCAGCAGGAACCCGCACGCAUAGAUGGACGCCAAGAUCCGCUCCUUCCUGUGUCUGGCAAGCUCUGCUGACCCCUGAGGUCGUUCCCACGCUUGCGGAGGUUCUAUGGGCUUGGUGUUGGUUGUCGCUCGUGCUCACCGUGCUGUCACCGGGUGUUCUUCCUUUGCCCGUCGUAGGGGUCCCCUGUUCUGAU
ensembl:lncRNA